UUAAGUCAAAUUUGUAUGGAGUUGGAACGUUUGCCUACGUUUGCCGCUAGGGGCACUGUUCUAGCUGCAUACAAAUUUCAGGAA
rfam:Bombyx mori DNA, contig: Bm_scaf6_contig5707, strain: p50T/Dazao, build 2, whole genome shotgun sequence.